AUAGCUCACUGGUCGAGUCGGCCUGCGCGGAAGAUGUAACGGGGCUAAACCAUGCACCGAAGCUGCGGCAGCGACACUAUGUGUUGUUGGGUAGGGGAGCGUUCUGUAAGCCUGCGAAGGUGUGCUGUGAGGCAUGCUGGAGGUAUCAGAAGUGCGAAUGCUGACAUAAGUAACGAUAAAGCGGGUGAAAAGCCCGCUCGCCGGAAGACCAAGGGUUCCUGUCCAACGUUAAUCGGGGCAGGGUGAGUCGACCCCUAAGGCGAGGCCGAAAGGCGUAGUCGAUGGGAAACAGGUUAAUAUUCCUGUACUUGGUGUUACUGCGAAGGGGGGACGGAGAAGGCUAUGUUAGCCGGGCGACGGUUGUCCCGGUUUAAGCAUGUAGGCUGGUUAUCCAGGCAAAUCCGGAUAAUCAAGGCUGAGGUGUGAUGACGAGGCACUACGGUGCUGAAGUAACAAAUGCCCUGCUUCCAGGAAAAGCCUCUAAGCAUCAGGUAACAUCAAAUCGUACCCCAAACCGACACAGGUGGUCAGGUAGAGAAUACCAAGGCGCUUGAGAGAACUCGGGUGAAGGAACUAGGCAAAAUGGUGCCGUAACUUCGGGAGAAGGCACGCUGGUGUGUAGGUGAAGUCCCUGCGGAUGGAGCUGAGACCAGUCGAAGAUACCAGCUGGCUGCAACUGUUUAUUAAAAACACAGCACUGUGCAAACACGAAAGUGGACGUAUACGGUGUGACGCCUGCCCGGUGCCGGAAGGUUAAUUGAUGGGGUUAUCCGUAAGGAGAAGCUCUUGAUCGAAGCCCCGGUAAACGGCGGCCGUAACUAUAACGGUCCUAAGGUAGCGAAAUUCCUUGUCGGGUAAGUUCCGACCUGCACGAAUGGCGUAAUGAUGGCCAGGCUGUCUCCACCCGAGACUCAGUGAAAUUGAACUCGCUGUGAAGAUGCAGUGUACCCGCGGCAAGACGGAAAGACCCCGUGAACCUUUACUAUAGCUUGACACUGAACAUUGAGCCUUGAUGUGUAGGAUAGGUGGGAGGCUUUGAAGCGUGGACGCCAGUCUGCGUGGAGCCAACCUUGAAAUACCACCCUUUAAUGUUUGAUGUUCUAACGUUGGCCCCUGACCGGGGUUGCGGACAGUGUCUGGUGGGUAGUUUGACUGGGGCGGUCUCCUCCCAAAGCGUAACGGAGGAGCACGAAGGUUAGCUAAUCCUGGUCGGACAUCAGGAGGUUAGUGCAAUGGCAUAAGCUAGCUUGACUGCGAGCGUGACGGCGCGAGCAGGUGCGAAAGCAGGUCAUAGUGAUCCGGUGGUUCUGAAUGGAAGGGCCAUCGCUCAACGGAUAAAAGGUACUCCGGGGAUAACAGGCUGAUACCGCCCAAGAGUUCAUAUCGACGGCGGUGUUUGGCACCUCGAUGUCGGCUCAUCACAUCCUGGGGCUGAAGUAGGUCCCAAGGGUAUGGCUGUUCGCCAUUUAAAGUGGUACGCGAGCUGGGUUUAGAACGUCGUGAGACAGUUCGGUCCCUAUCUGCCGUGGGCGCUGGAGAAUUGAGGGGGGCUGCUCCUAGUACGAGAGGACCGGAGUGGACGCAUCACUGGUGUUCGGGUUGUCAUGCCAAUGGCACUGCCCGGUAGCUAAAUGCGGAAGAGAUAAGUGCUGAAAGCAUCUAAGCACGAAACUUGCCCCGAGAUGAGUUCUCCCUGAGACUUUAAGUCUCCUGAAGGAACGUUAAAGACGAUGACGUUGAUAGGCCGGGUGUGUAAGCGCAGCGAUGCGUUGAGCUAACCGGUACUAAUGAACCGUGAGGCUUAACCUU
rnacentral:rRNA from 1 species